UCGCUCUUCAACGAGGAAUCCCUAGUAAGCACAAGUCAUCAGCUUGUGCUGAUUACGUCCCUGCCCUUUGUACACACCGCCCGUCGCUACUACCGAUUGAAUGGCUUAGUGAGACCCUCGGAUUGACUUUCAUCGGCUGUAAAAGGCUUUUGGUUGUUGAAAAGUUGGUCAAACUUGGUCAUUUAGAGGAAGUAAAAGUCGUAACAAGGUUUCCGUAGGUGAACCUGCGGAAGGAUCAUUAUCAAUUCUAGCAAGUACCCUUUAGGGCUCUUGCGCACGUAUUUAAAACCCCACACUUUAUGAAAUUUUAUAUAUAUUUUACUUUUAAUAAGUAAUUAAAAGAUCACUUUCAACAACGGAUCUCUUGGUUCUCGCAUCGAUGAAGAACGUAGCGAAGUGCGAUAAGUAGUGUGAAUUGCAGAAUUCCGUGGAUCAUCGAAUUUUUGAACGCAAAUUGCACUCUCUGGUAUUCCGGAGAGUAUGCCUGUUUGAGGGUCAGUAAAAUAAAAAAUCGAUAUGUUACCUUGUCGUGACAUUUCGGAAUUGAGCCAUCUUAGAAAAUUUUUAGGUUUAAGAGGCUUAAAAUUGACCACUUUUUGGUAUGAUUUAAGCGUUGCUAAGAUUACGUUUAAUGAGUACCGAUGUUUAUUAGGCAUGACCAUGAUCAUGGUUUCGUGCCCAUAAUUUUUUAUCAUGAAAUGACCUCAAAUCAGGUAGGAUUACCCGCUGAACUUAAGCAUAUCAAUAAGCGGAGGAAAAGAAAAUAACAAUGAUUCCCCUAGUAACGGCGAGCGAAGAGGGAAUAGCUCAAAUUUUAAAUCUGUUGGGUUUUACCUAACCGAGUUGUAAUUUGAAGAAACGUUUUCUGCGUCUUGAUUUAGCCUAAAUCCUUUGGGAUAAGGUAUCAAGGAGGGUGAGAAUCCCGUCUGGUUAGAUCAAAAUGCUUUACGAUACGUUUUCUAAGAGUCGAGUUGUUUGGGAAUGCAGCUCAAAAUGGGAGGUAAAUUUCUCCUAAGGCUAAAUAUAGGCGAGAGACCGAUAGCGAACAAGUACCGUGAGGGAAAGAUGAAAAGAACUUUGAAAAGAGAGUUGAACAGUACGUGAAAUUGUUGAAAGGGAAACGAUUGAAGUCAGUCGUACCGACGGAAAAUCAGCUUUUUGAGUGCGGACUUGUGGGUUUACGUGAGCUUUACGGCCUCGUUUGUUUGCAAUGUUCGUUCUUUUUGGGUGUACUUUUUCGUAUGGUUGGUCAGCAUCGGUUUUGAUCGUUAUAAAAUGACAGGAGGAAUGUAGCUUCGAUCUCGUAUUGAAGUGUUAUAGACUUUGGUAGAUGUAACGGUUAGGAUCGAGGAUUGCAAUGGAUACCCUCAUGGGCUAUCCGCCUGGCCUCUGAUUUGUCACUUUGGUGCCGAAAGCGUGCUUAUGGUAUUAAAGCGUACGGUCAAAAGGUUAGAACGGAUUAUAUUCAUUAAGGAUGUUGACGUAAUGGCUUUAAACGACCCGUCUUGAAACACGGACCAAGGAGUCUAACAUAUAUGCGAGUGUUC
rnacentral:rRNA from 1 species